rnacentral:lncRNA from 1 species
UUAUUGGCUUUUCUAAUUACAUAUCUCCACCUUUGUUCUUAGUCGAUGUCAUUAUUGUUUGGCGCAGGUUUUGAAACAACUUUUUCAUUCGAAAAGCAGAAACUCAUGUUUAUUCGAUUAAAAAUAUCGAAAUCUAAAAAUAACAGCUUAAAUUUAAAUUUUUUCAUGAAAAAGAAUACCAAAGGUUUUAAGUAUUGUUAGAACUUCUAUAAAAUGCACUUCUUCAUUUCCAGCAUAGAGAUUUAAUUUUACAUGUGAACAAGUACAAUAAAAGGAC